UACGUAGGGGGCUAGCGUUGUCCGGAUUUAUUGGGCGUAAAGAGCGUGUAGGCGGCCAUGUAGGUCCGGUGUGAAAACUCGAGGCUUAACCUCGAGAUGUCAUCGGAAACCAUUUGGCUAGAGUCCGGAAGAGGCGAGUGGAAUUCCUGGUGUAGCGGUGGAAUGCGCAGAUAUCAGGAGGAACACCAAUAGCGAAGGCAGCUCGCUGGGACGGUACUGACGCUAAGGCGCGAAAGCGUGGGGAGCGAACAGG
rnacentral:rRNA from 1 species